CUUUGUCAAAACCCUUGGAACAAAACGUAUGACACCAAGAGUGAAAUCUAAUGCAAACUGUGAAUGAUGUCCAAUGUAGGCCUAUUGAUGAUAAUAAAUGUACCACUUUGGUGCGGGAUGUUGACAGCUGGGGAGGUUGUGUGAGUAUGUGUGUCGGGAGUGGGGAAAAGAGGCAGUAAAUGGGAGCUCUCUAUUUUUUGCCCAAGUUUGCUUUGAACCUAAAACUGCUCUGAAAAAUAAAGGUUCUUAAUUAAAAUAAAGAGAGGGUCUUGAGCAGCAGUUCUCAGAGUUUGUUCUUGGAACCUCCCUACAUCUUUGGAAUCCCAUCAGAAGGUUAACUAAUUUUAUAAUAGCACUGACACAUUAGUUGCCUCUUUCAAACUCAUUUUCUUAUGAGUGUACAGUGGAGUUUUCCAGAGGCUACAUGACAUGUGAUUUCACAACAGACUGAAUGUAACAGCAGCUAGGAGAAUCCAGCUGUCCUCAAUUAAGCCAGACAUUGAAGAGAUACCAUGAAAAUAUAAAACAGCAUCAUUCUUUUCACUAUAUCUGUUUUGGUUUAGAAAAAUAGUUAUUUUUAAAAAAUAUUAUUUAUUUUAGCAUGUAAUAUGUUUAUUAUUUUAAGUAAAAUAAUAAACACUUUUGAAAAGAAUUCUGACAUUUGUUAUUUUAUGCAGGAGAUAAGAUAAAAACAGCAGUGAAAAGGGUAUGCAUUGGAACUGAAACUCUCUCAGCCAGCAAAAGCAGAGAAGACUCUCAUCAGGCAGCAAGUAGCAUUUGGACACACCUUCAAAAGAUGGGGUAAGAUUUGGACACUUGAAGAUUGCUGAGAAAUGAGAAGAAGACAUUAAGCAGAGUGCAAGCAUAGUAGACAAUGAACAUGGAGCCUAAAGCAGAGCAUAGAAAACGGAGGACAACAUCGGGAAACUGGAUGGCUGGAAAGCGUGUGAACAUGUGUAGAGAAAAGAAAAAUGGGAAACUUUAUAUCCUGAAGUCCUGGUUAAAGAGAGUUUGGUCCAAGAGGUUCCCGCAGGAGGCAAGAAACCAGCCGGAGAAGUUCAUAGGCAAAUAA
rnacentral:lncRNA from 1 species